GCGGAAGUGGCUCAGUGGUAGAGCAUCUCCUUGCCAAGGAGAGGGUCGGGAGUUCGAAUCUCCUCUUCCGCUCCA
rnacentral:tRNA from 4 species